CACUCCUGCGGGAGGCAGCAGUGGGGAAUAUUGGACAAUGGGCGCAAGCCUGAUCCAGCCAUGCCGCGUGAGUGAUGAAGGCCCUAGGGUUGUAAAGCUCUUUCACCGGUGAAGAUAAUGACGGUAACCGGAGAAGAAGCCCCGGCUAACUUCGUGCCAGCAGCCGCGGUAAUACGAAGGGGGCUAGCGUUGUUCGGAUUUACUGGGCGUAAAGCGCACGUAGGCGGACUAUUAAGUCAGGGGUGAAAUCCCGGGGCUCAACCCCGGAACUGCCUUUGAUACUGGUAGUCUUGAGUUCGAGAGAGGUGAGUGGAAUUCCGAGUGUAGAGGUGAAAUUUGUAGAUAUUCGGAGGAACACCAGUGGCGAAGGCGGCUCACUGGCUCGAUACUGACGCUGAGGUGCGAAAGCGUGGGGAGCAAACAGGAUUAGAUACCCCGAGUAGUCCCAUG
rnacentral:rRNA from 1 species